rnacentral:rRNA from 2 species
ACGGGAGGCAGCAGUGGGGAAUAUUGGGCAAUGGGGGCAACCCUGACCCAGCAACGCCGCGUGAAGGAAGAAGGCUUUCGGGUUGUAAACUUCUUUGACGAGGGACGAAAGAAAUGACGGUACCUCGAAAACAAGCCACGGCUAACUACGUGCCAGCAGCCGCGGUAAUACGUAGGUGGCGAGCGUUGUCCGGAUUUACUGGGUGUAAAGGGCGCGUAGGUGGGUGUGCAAGUCAGAUGUGAAAUACCGAGGCUUAACCUCGGGGCUGCAUUUGAAACUGUGCAUCUUGAGUAUCGGAGGGGCAAGCGGAAUUCCUAGUGUAGCGGUGAAAUGCGUAGAUAUUAGGAGGAACACCAGUGGCGAAGGCGGCUUGCUGGACGACAACUGACACUGAGGCGCGAAAGCGUGGGGAGCAAACAGGAUUAGAUACCCUGGUA